rnacentral:rRNA from 1 species
UACAGAGGUCUCAAGCGUUGUUCGGAUUCAUUGGGCGUAAAGGGUGCGUAGGUGGCGCGCUAAGUCAGGUGUGAAAUUUCGGAGCUUAACUCCGAAACUGCAUUUGAUACUGGCGUGCUUGAGGACUGGAGAGGAGACUGGAAUUCACGGUGUAGCAGUGAAAUGCGUAGAUAUCGUGAGGAAGACCAGUGGCGAAGGCGGGUCUCUGGACAGUUCCUGACACUGAGGCACGAAGGCCCAGGGGGAGCAAAACGGG